rnacentral:rRNA from 1 species
UACGUAGGGGGCAAGCGUUGUCCGGAAUCAUUGGGCGUAAAGAGCGUGUAGGCGGUUCGGUAAGUCUGCUGUGAAAGUCCAGGGCUCAACCCUGGAAAGCCGGUGGAUACUGUCGGACUAGAGUGCGGAAGAGGCGAGUGGAAUUCCCGGUGUAGCGGUGAAAUGCGCAGAUAUCGGGAGGAACACCAAUGGCGAAGGCAGCUCGCUGGAACGGUACUGACGCUGAGGCGCGAAAGCGUGGGGAGCAAACAGG